CUACGGGAUGCUCCAGUCGAGAAUCUUCCGCAAUGCGCGAAAGCGUGACGGAGCGAUGCCGCGUGCAGGAUGAAGGCCUUCGGGUUGUAAACUGCUGUCUCCGGGGACGAAGAUCUGACGGUACCCGGAGAGGAAGCCACGGCUAACUACGUGCCAGCAGCGCGCGGUAAUACGUAAGUGGCGAGCGUUGUUCGGAUUUAUUGGGCGUAAAGGGUCCGCAGGGGGUCCGCUAAGUCUGAUGUGAAAUCUCACGGCUCAACCGUGAAACUGCAUUGGAAACUGGUGGACUAGAGCGUCGGAGAGGAGAACGGAAUUCCUGGUGUAGCGGUGGAAUGCGUAGAUAUCAGGAAGAACACCAAAAGCGAAGGCAGUUCUCUGGACGAUCGCUGACCCUCAGGGACGAAAGCGUGGGGAGCAAACAGGAUUAGAUACCCCCGUAGUC
rnacentral:rRNA from 1 species